rnacentral:lncRNA from 1 species
GAUUCUCUGAGCAAGGCCAGAUAAGAUUUUACCCUCAUGCAGAGAAGAUGGAAUACUCUUGAGACAACUUCCUACUUGGAUAUUAAAAAACAGAGGUCUGCGAUCACCCGGC